rnacentral:rRNA from 1 species
UACGGGGGGUGCGAGCGUUGUCCGGAAUCACUGGGCGUAAAGGGCGCGUAGGCGGUCCGGUAAGUCCGCUCUGAAAGUCCGGGGCUCAACCCCGGGAGGCGGGCGGAUACUGUCGGGCUAGAGUCCGGAAGAGGCGAGUGGAAUUCCUGGUGUAGCGGUGAAAUGCGCAGAUAUCAGGAGGAACACCAAUGGCGAAGGCAGCUCGCUGGGACGGUACUGACGCUGAGGCGCGAAAGCGUGGGGAGCAAACAGG